rnacentral:misc_RNA from 1 species
ACAUGAUAAUUUCUGACAACUUCAACUAUGGCAGGAGGAUUAGAACGAGCUCGUAAAUUACCCAAGAUUCAAGAUGCGGACAAGGAAUCCAUGUUUGGAUAUGUCCAUGCUGUGUCUGGACCUGUGGUCACUGCCCAGCAAAUGGCAGGAGCAGCUAUGUACGAGUUGGUGAGGGUCGGUCACUCGGAACUGGUGGGGGAGAUCAUUCGGCUGGAGGGAGACAUGGCAACCAUUCAGGUCUAUGAGGAAACCUCUGGUGUGACGGUGGGUGACCCUGUGAUGAGGACCGGGAAACUCCUGUCAGUGGAACUGGGGCCUGGAAUUAUGGGCUCCAUCUUUGAUGGUAUUCAGCGUCCACUGGAGGAAAUUAACAAAAUGACCCAGAGUAUCUACAUUCCAAAAGGUGUGAACACACCUGCUUUAGACAGAGUGAAGACGUGGGAGUUUGAACCAUUUGGCAAUGUCAGGGUUGGCAGUCAUGUGACAGGAGGUGAUGUGUACGGUAUGGUGUACGAGAACAUCCUGGUCAAACACAAGAUCAUGCUCCCUCCCAAAACCCGCGGAACUGUGACCUGGAUUGCAGACCCUGGGGAGUACACAGUCAAUGAUGUGGUGUUGGAGACAGAGUUUGACGGAGAGAAGUCCAAGUACACCAUGUUACAGGUGUGGCCCGUCCGUCAGCUCCGACCGGUCACUGAGAAACUGGCCGGCAACCACCCCCUCCUGACCGGACAGAGGGUGCUGGACGCCCUGUUCCCAUGUGUACAGGGAGGGACAACAGCUAUUCCCGGAGCCUUUGGGUGUGGUAAAACUGUCAUCUCCCAGUCCUUGUCCAAGUACUCCAACAGUGAUGUCAUCAUCUACGUCGGGUGUGGGGAGCGUGGGAAUGAAAUGUCUGAAGUAUUGAGAGACUUCCCCGAGACUUCACUCCCCUAAGAACAAAGUGCAAAGAAAUUUUACAAGAAGAGGAAGAUCUGUCAGAAAUUGUACAACUAGUCGGAAAGGGAUCUCUGGCAGAGGCAGACAAGAUCACGCUAGAGGUGGCCAAACUGAUCAAGGAUGAUUUCCUCCAACAGAAUGGAUACACACCUUACGACAGAUUCUGUCCAUUCUACAAGACAGUAGGAAUGUUGAAAAACAUCAUUGCUUUCUAUGACAUGGCCAGACACUCGGUGGAGAGCACGGCUCAGAGUGAGAACAAGAUCACCUGGGCCAUCAUCCGUGACCAGAUGAACGAUAUCAUCUACAAGCUCAGCAGCAUGAAGUUCAAGGACCCAGUCAAAGAUGGUGAGAGGAAAAUCAAACAGGAUUAUGAUGAUUUACACGAAGAAAUGCAGACAGCUUUCAGGAAUCUGGAGGACUGAGAACAAUUAGUAGCAAAUUAGGACUGAAAAAUGUAGACUAAACGUGUUAGGACAGUAUGUACGUGGAAAUUGUAUUGAAAAUUGUGAAACUCUGCAGACAUUAUUAUUCUAGUCAAAUUUUGCUUGAUAGUGUCAGAUCCUUCCAUGACAAAGGUAACUGUGUAUGAUUGGUGUUAAUAGUCCCAGGUGUGAUCAGCAAGAGUUGAAGGUUCACUACUGAUAAGAUAAUUAAUACAGUUGUCUCAAGGGUUUCAUUCAUUAGGAAUUUAUAUUUUGUAUAUUGCAGAGUCCUCUAAAAUUGAGAAAUUCAUAUUGUGGACAUUGCAGAGUCCUCUAAAAUCGUAGAGUAAAACACUGUGUCCACUUCAGCAUGGGUUGAUGGGCAUUUUGAAUUAAUUGUACAUUAGUAGAUUUAUUGAGUGCUAUUAUAUUACUGUACAUCUGUUGUUGGAGUCUAAAACUACAUAUUUAGAUUUAUCAGUGAAACAUUCCAUGUUUACCUCGUGUGUGCUUCAUUUAGUGCUGACCAUUCAACAAUGAACAAAUACAUUUUACUGAUGCAGCCAUAUCAUCUUCAGUUGAGUUAUACCCUGACACUGAUUAUUUAUUACUAUACACUUCUGUUUAUUAAUUGAUAAAAAUAUUGUAAAACAAAAUUAUUGCAUGGGAAAUAACAUAGGUUGAGUCUUUAUAUAUUUAUGGUUUAAUUUAAAUAUAUGUUUGUAAUUUCUUUAGAACUUUCUUGUGAUUGAAGUUUUCAUAGAUAAUGUAUUGGGUUACGAUAAAUCCUGUUCUUUUUUUAUCUCGUAUACAAUGAAUGUGAUAGUCUUUGUGCAAGUUGUAUGAUUUUAGUUUAUAGCUCAAGCCAUUGUACAAACAUUGCAAUGAAACAAUCCACACUAGUAUUUAAAACUUUGUACAUAUUAAUAACCAAGAGGAAACAUAAAUAUGCAGAUAUUU